UACGUAGGGGGCAAGCGUUGUCCGGAAUCAUUGGGCGUAAAGCGCGCGUAGGCGGCCCGGUAAGUCCGUUGUGAAAGUCAAAGGCUCAACCUUUGAACGCCGAUGGAUACUGCCGGGCUAGAGUCCGGAAGAGGCGAGUGGAAUUCCUGGUGUAGCGGUGGAAUGCGCAGAUAUCAGGAGGAACACCAAUAGCGAAGGCAGCUCGCUGGGACGGUACUGACGCUGAGGCGCGAAAGCGUGGGGAGCGAGCAGG
rnacentral:rRNA from 1 species